CGCACGUGAGGUUGAAGUGGUUACUCAAUAGGUUACGGUUCAUGGUAUAAUUGUUACCUACGAUUAAUUUUUAAAAUUAGAAUGCUUCCAUCAACGUUAGUUGAAUUUUUGGAAACGUUGUGUUCUAAUAUUGCCGUGAUCAAGAUUUCAACUGCGGGCUUACGACAUGGAAAUGAAUUAUGGCAUCUUGAAAUUUGGUCCUAGUUUUGUAUUGAAGUGUUCAACUCUGAAUUCAUGCAUUCCAGCGAAGUCCUGUCGAGGUUGGUCUCGUUUGUGAUUUUUCUAUGAGGUUUCGAAUCCUCCCUUCGCCAUGGUCGGAUGAACUGGUUUUCAUGUACAUGAUGGAAUUUUAGGUUCUUGGCACUUUAGGUAACAUUGAGUAAGAAACAAUUUUUCCCUUUUUCUGGAGUUACCGUUUUCAAAAUUUAGCAUUUGAAAAUUGAUGAAAAAAUUACUUUUGAGAUUAUCGACUAGAAUUUGCCUGAAUUGACCUCGAUUUUCAAGUUUUCAAAAAUUCAUCAAAAAUGUAAAAUCAAGCAAAACCGCUAAAAUUUCACUUUUCAGAGAUGCUUUCUCGGUUUCCCCAAAAAAUUCAAUUUUUUCAGAUGUUAGAGCAAAGAAGAUCUUCCUUGGUGGUCCCUUUGUUAGUUUGUUGAAUUCAUUUUUAGCUUGAAAAUGAUCGAAGAGUAUUGAAAAAGGUAUGGACUAUGAACAAUAAAUGAGGCUAUGUCCACGAUGCAGGUACAAGUAAACUUACGAAAGAGUAUGCAAUUUCCACAAUGUAAAUAGAAAAUGAAAUUGUUUGGCAAACUUCGAAACAAAAAUGUAAAGAGGGGGCUUAGAAUGAUCGGAGAUGGUAAGAAUUAUUGUAAUUAUUGUGUGGGGGUUUUCCAAGAAUUAUUCCCUAGGGAGGGAAUAUUUCUCUUCUACCUGACUAGCUUGGAUGGGUAGGCUAUAGAUCACACUAAGUCUCAACUACACCAGAAAUGUCUUGAAAUGUAAUAAAACACCUCAACAGAA